rnacentral:rRNA from 1 species
GACGAACGCUGGCGGCGUGCUUAACACAUGCAAGUCGAACGGAGUGGCGAACGGGUGAGUAACACGUGGGUGAUCUGCCUUGCACUUGGGGAUAAUCUUGGGAAACUUGGUCUAAUACCGGAUAGUACAAGAUGAGCGCGCGGCCUAUCAGCUUGUUGGUGGGGUAAUGGCCUACCAAGGCGUCGAUGGGUAGCCGGCCUGAGAGGGUGUACGGCCACAUUGGGACUGAGAGACGGCCCAGACUCCAACGGGAGGCAGCAGUGGGGAAUAUUGCGCAAUGGGCGGGAGCGUGAUAAAGAGACGCCGCGUGGGGGAUGAAGGCCUUCGGGUUGUAAACGCCUUUCGACAGGGACGCGGUACCUGUAUAAGAAGCACCGGCUAACUACGUGCCAGCAUCCGCGGUAAUAC